UAAAACUACAAUGAGUCUUCUCGUGUUAAAAUGUGUUAUAAGUACUACAUAACAUUUUCAAAAUAAAAGACAAUGAGGUCAAUGUCAGAUAACCCUAUCAGACUGAUAUUUACACCUCGAAAUCAUGCCAGACUGAUUUUACCCCUCGAAAUCAUUCCAUGCACCAAAUAAAGUGCUUAUUAAAUCUGAGGAACAGACUUUACUAGUAA
rnacentral:lncRNA from 1 species